GCGGGGUCCCUGCAGCAGCCACAACAAACGAUGGGUGACAGGCGCGUCGCGGGGGAGGCGGUGACCACGCACUCUACUUCAGCCCGCACCUCAAACUCGCGGCUCAGCGACAUUGACGAGUAUGGGUUCCAGCGGCCGCCAGACUUCGACUACGACACCUACGAGGAGUUCAUGUCCCGGUACCUCUCUGUGCUGUCCAGGCGGGCGCGGAAGUGGGCGCAUCUACUGGGGGCGAGGGAGACUGUGGGGCGGAGCAUUAAGGUCAAACGAUAUGUCCGGAAAGGCAUACCCAUGAAGCACAGGGGCAAGAUGUGGCUUGAGGUCAGCGGGGCGGGGUCAAGGCUCGCAAACCGCCCCGGAUACUACCGAUCCCUCGUCUCCGGUCCACCGUUGUCCGAGGAGCAGCAGGAAUCCAUUAGGGUAGACCUGCCCCGAACCUUUCCCGACAACAUAUACUUCCGGGACGGGGCGGGGAAAGAGGGGAAGAUUGUCAGCCUCGGAAAUGUCCUGAGCGCAUUCUGCCGCCAUAAUCCUGGUAUAGGGUACUGCCAGGGGCUGAACUACAUCGCCGGGCUCCUUCUCCUGGUGACCCAAGAAGAGGAGUCUGCGUUCUGGUUACUUGCGACCCUCACCGACCACAUUCUCCCCGAUUACUACACCCCCGGCAUGGAAGGGGUGCAGACAGAUGCUAGGGUGAUUGAGGCGCUUGUUAAAGAGCGCGCCCCCUUGGUCUGGCGGCACAUUGUACACUAUAACCUGACCUGGGAACUGCUCGUGACCAAGUGGUUCGUCUGUUUGUACGCGGAGGUGCUGCCCAUUGAGACGGUACUAAGGAUCUGGGACUGUCUGUUCUAUGAGGGCAACAAGGUUUUGAUGAGGGUGGCGAUCGCUUUAGUGCUCAACAACGAAGCCAAAAUCCUCGCCAGCCAGGAGUUCGUGGACAUCGUGGAGUGCUUCAAGGCGGUGACCCAGGACGCUAAUGCUGUCGAUUGUCACACGUUUAUGGAGACUGCCUUCAAGAUCUCCGGGUCCUUCCCCCGCACCCGCCUGGCUAAGCUACGUCAAGAGUGCAUGGACCAAGUGGUGGCAGAGAGGAACGCAAGGAAGAAAUGAGAGAGAGAGAGAGAGAGAGAGAGAGAGAGAGAGAGAGAGAGAGAGAAUAUUAAUAAUCUUUUAAUAAGCAAAAUAUGGAUUAAAUUUGAUGAGGAAAUGAGAGAAGAAGAAGAAGAAAAGAAGAAAGGAGGGUUAGGAAAGAGAUGAGAGAGAGAGAGAGAGAGAGAGAGAGAGAGAGAGAGAGAGAGAGAGAGAGAACUUAGUCGAAUUCCAUAGUGAGAUAUUGAAGACUUUAUGAGAACUUAGCAACUUUAGAGGGAGAGAGAGAGAUUAGAAUGCUUAAGAGAAGUAGAGCGAGAGAGAGAGAGGAAUUAGAGAGAGAGAAUAGACACCUGAUAGAAUAAAGAGGAGGAGGAGGAGGAGUUAGAGGAAGAAGAGUUAGAAGAGGAGGAGGAGGAGGAGUUAGAGGAAGAGGAGGAAGAGGAAGAGGAGGAAGGAACACACACACACACACACACACACACACACACACACACACACAUGAUUUCACUGCCUGACCUACAUAUAAUAAUAAUAAUAAUAAUAAUAAUAAUAAUAAUAAUAAUAAUAAUAAUAAUAAUAAAAAUGGUUGUUGAAAAUCCUUAGUAAUCUAGUCUUUAUUUUAUUUAUUUAUUAUUAUUAUUAUUAUUAUUUUGUGUGUGUGUGUGUGUGUGUUUGUGUGUGCGCGUCAAUUCUCAGGUGAUCUUAAGGUACACAUCCCUCCCUUAAGCCAGCUAUAAAGGUCUACAUGUGUGCGUAUUCCAACGUACACAUAGAUUUACAUAUGUGCGUGCAUCUGUGUGUGUGUAGAUGCAGUAUUUGUGUGCGCGUAAUCUACUGGUUAUGUGCGUUUUUAAGUCCAUGUACGUCUGUGGGGAUACUUCAGCUCAUGUACGCAUUCCAAAGCUUGUGUACGCAUAAUUGAAACUUGUGUACGUAUAAGGAUAUCCGUGUACGCAUAAUGGAGUCCGUGUACGCGCCGUGAAACUUGUGUACGCAUAUUGAAACUCGCGCACAUGUAAGGAUUUUUUUCAUGUACGCAUAAUGCAGUCUGUGUACGCGCAGUAAAGCUUGUGUACGCAUAACUGAAAAUCGCGUACAUGUGAUGAAUUUUCUCAUGUACGCACCGUGAAGCUUGUGUACGCAUAUCUGAAAAUCGCGUACAUGUGAGGAAUUUUCUCGUGUACGCACAGUAAAGCUUGUGUACGCAAAACUAUAACGCGUGCAUGUAAGUUUUUUUUCAUGUACGCAUAAUGAGGUCCGUGUACGCGCCGUCAAGCUCAUGUACGCAUAAUUGAAACUCGUGUACAUGUGAGGAUUUUUUUUUUCGUGUACGCAUAAUAAGGUCUGUGUACGCGCCGUCAAGCUCAUGUGCGCAUAUUGCAAGCUGUGUACGCAUGAUUCUCCUUGUUGACGUGUGGCCGAGAAUUGAAAUUUUAGCUAAUAUAAAAAAUGUGCAUGUAAGAUUUUUUUCAUGUACGCAUAAUGAGGUCCGUGUACGCGCCGUCAAGCUCAUGUGCGCAUAUUGCAAGCUGUGUACGCAUGAUUCUCCUUGUUGACGUGUGGCCGAGAAUUGAAAUUUUAGGUAAUAUAUAAAAUGUACAUGUAAGUUUUUUUUCAUGUACGCAUAAUGAGGUCCGUGUACGCGCCGUCAAGCUCAUGUGCGCAUAUUGCAAGCUGUGUACGCAUGAUUCUCCUUGUUGACGUGUGGCUGAGAAUUGAAAUUUUAGGUUAUAUAAAUUUUUUUGUAUAUAAUUAAGCAAGCAAGUUAAUUUCACUGUUAUUGAGGGAGGCAGUGACUGGCAACUUUUAUUUCUUAAGACUUUGCUUUGCCAGAGAUUAAACUAUGAGUGUGUGUGUGUAUUAGAGUGUGUGUGUAUAAGAGUGUGUGUGUGUAUGUGUGUGUGUGUGUGUUUUGUGGUUACGAGAGUUGCAUCAUUUCAGUUCUUGUGGGAAAUUACAAUGUCGGGUUUUAAUGAGCUUUGAAAUAUGUGACUAUGUGCGUGUGUGUGUGUGUGUGUGUGUGUUUGAUGAUCAUUGAAAUACGUGACUAUGUGUGUGUGUGUGUGUGUGUGUGUGUGUGUGUGUGUGUGUGUGUGUGUGUGUGAGGUUAAGACACAAGUUAUAAACAGCUGUGAUGGCGGGUGACUCCUGAUUCUUAAGACUUGGUUUACCAGUGAUUUCCAGACCUGUAUUGUAUUUCGUCAACAGUGAUUUUAAUUCUAGGGUGACCGAGCAUAGCAGGUUUACGCUACGAUGAUAUUUUUUAAGCUUACGUUAGAAUGAUCUUAUUUGUUAACUGUGGGAAGCUGUGAUUUGUAUAAGGAUUCUAUUGUGUAUGGUAACUUUUGUGGUGGUUUUAAGUGAUGUUUGUAUUUAUUAGAGAUUAAGGAUUCUAUUGUAUAUGGUAACGUUUGUGAUUUUAAGUGAUGUUUAAAUUUGUGGGCAUGUGAUGUUUGUAUUUAUUAGAGGUUAGCCCGGUGGUACCAGCGGGGACCAUGUUUCUUAAUGGUCCCUCCAAGCGAGAAAAAUGAGAAAAAAUCACCCCUCACACAAACCAUUUCAUAAUAUAUAUCAAAAUCUGAAAAUCGCGUACAUGUGAGUAAUUUUCUCAUGUACGCACAGUGAAGCUUGUGUACGCAUAUCUGAAAAUCGCGUACAUGUGAGUAAUUUUCUCAUGUACGCGCAGUGAAGCUUGUGUACGCAUAUCUGAAAAUCGCGUACAUGUGAGGAAUUUUCUCAUGUACACACCGUAAAGCUUGUGUACGCAAAACUAUAACGCGUACAUGUAAUUUUUUUUUCAUGUACGCAUAAUGAGGUCCGUGUACGCGCCGUCAAGCUCAUGUGCGCAUAAUUGAAACUCGCAUUCACGUGAGGAUUUUUUUUUCGUGUACGCAUAAUGAGGCCCAUGUACGCGCCGUCAAGCUCAUGUGCGCAACUUAUACAAAGGCUUGGGAGUCAAAAUGUUUAAGGAUACAGCCCAAGGACACUAAACAGGGACUUUGAGCGGUGGAUUGAUGUCUUUGGUAAUAGGUCUCAAUGCAGAAUCAUGGGACAUCGCUGGAGGGGACAUCGCUGGAGGGGACAUCGCUGGAGGGGACAUCGCUGGAGGGGACAUCGCUGGAGGGACCUUGUGUCAAACCAGCAACUACUCCACGAGACUGACUCCACAUGUAAUACCAGCAUAGUCCGGCAUAGUCCGUCAACGCCACCUCCAGCUAUACGGGCACAUGGCACCAUACCCUAGGCUGACCCUGCUCAUUGGGGGCCGCUGUGCGAUGACCCUGAGUAGAGUGUGCCAAGGGUACCCCCACGGAGUUCAUGGUUUGAGCAAGGUGUUAGAUCCUGCCGGGAGGUGCUCAGUUUGGGAAGUGGGCCUGUAUGGAGACUCGCCGGUUUAGGGUGGGUGAAGCAACGCACCCCCCAGCGUAUGGCCCCCGUGAUUUGAUUGGUUUUAGCGAUGAAUGUGGGAAACUGUGACGUUAAUUGGUGGUUUUUUUUCUUUAGGUUAAUUUUUAUGGUGAUUUAAAUGACUGUCCGGUGAUUUAGAGUUUGUAUUUAUUGAAGAUUAAGUAGGUGUGUGUGUGUGUGUGUGUGUGUGUGUGUGUGUGUGUGUGUGUGUUGACCAAGCAAGCACUGCCUACCAUCUGUACAUGCAAAGUUUUCAUGUGAUAAAAAAAAAAAAGUUCCAGAGAUUGUAGCUGUGUUAGUACGUGUGUGUGUGUGUGUGUGUGUGUGUGUGUGAUCAUUGCAUAUCUUAUUGUAAGUUAAAAUCUGUCUGGUCUCAUCAUAUUCAAAUUAUCAUUAUUAUUAUUAUUAUUAUUAUUAUUACUGUUCAAAUAUCCCUCGAGCUGGGGUGUCAAACUCAUUCGCUAAGGCGGGCCGAAUUUGAUAUUAAGGUACAAUGCGCAGGUCAAAGGUAGGAAGCCAAAAUAAACACUUCAAAUUUACCUCUAAAUUGAACAAUAUGACAAAGAUGUUCAUCCUUCAUGGAACGCAUUGCUUGAUUCAGAACUUUUCAGGCAGGAUUUUUUGGGUGUCAAUAUCACCAUGAAGUUCCAGUGUGCUGUGAGGCGAAUGUAUCUCUGCAAAAUAGCCGCUCAAUCAUCAAACGCGGUCUCCGAAGUAUUGCCCCAAGUUAAAGGUCCAACGUAUUGCCCCAAGUUAAAGGUCCAACAUAUUGCCCCAAGUUAAAGGUCCAACGUAUUGCCCCAAGUUAAAGUUUCACCCGCAAGGCACGGAUGCAAUCAUCGAACGCGGUCUCCAACUUGCUGCGCCCUUGUAUCUUUGGGUUCAGGUGAUUCAAGUCCUCUGUGAUGUCCACCAUGAAAGCCAGACCUUGGACCAACCCAUUAUCUCCAAGUUCAUGCAAAUAAAAUGAAAUAUGGAUGGUAUCGAGGGUCAGGCGUCGAGGCUUUCCCAGCUGUAUUUCUCUCGCUAUAAAUCCAAAUAAGUCACAAAUAAAAUAAAAUAUGGAUGGUAUCGAGGGUCAGGCGUCGAGGUUUUCCCAGCUGUAUUUCUCUCGCUAUAAAUCCAAAUAAGUCGCAAAUAAAAUAAAAUAUGGAUGGUAUUGAGGGUCAGGCGUCGAGGUUUUCCCAGCUGUAUUUCUCUCGCUAUAAAUCCAAAUAAGUCGCAAAUAAAAUACAUCAAAAUAAACUCAAUAAACACAGGAGACGAGACCACGAGGGGCGACUUUUCCGUUCGUAAUAAAGAAAAACGAGAGAAAAAACACAGGAAAAUAUAGAUGGUCCGACAUUAGGCGUUGAAGGAUUUGCCGUCUAUCCCUUCCGCUAUCUUAGAAGUGGAAGAAAGUGAAGAUAAUUGCAGUAGAAGGGAAGGAAAGUUAAGAAAUAGGAAAAGAAAUGGAUUAUAUGAUGUUUGCUGGCGAAGUUUUAUUCUUUUAUAGAUCUUCCGAUGUCUGUUCAAUCGUCGUACUUAUGGAAAUCGAGUCACUUAUACUUAAAGAUUCUGUCACAAACUUACACACACCCACACACACUUAUGAGAGCUUAAACAUCUAUUCUUUUUUAUCUUGAAUUGCUGUACUUAUGGAAAUCAAGUCACUUAUACUUAAAGAUUCUGUCACAAACUUACACACACACACAUACACUUAUGAGAGCUUAAACAUCUAUUCUUUUUUAUCUUGAAUUGCUGUACUUAUGGAAAUCAAGUCACUUAUACUUAAAGAUUCUGUCACAGACUUACACACAAGCACACACACUUAUACACACUUACGAGAGUUUAAAUGUCCAUUCUUUUCUAUCUUAAAUCGCUGUACUUAUGGAAAUCAAGUCACUUAUACUUAAAGAUUCUGUCACAAACUUACACACAAGCACACACACUUAUACACACUUAUGAGAGUUUAAACGUCUAUUUUCUAUCUUAAAUCGCUGUACUUAUAGACUCAAUCCCAUAUGUUUCUUUAACCCUUUCACUGCUAGGCGCUCGCAAGGAGACUAUCCCCUCAGGCGCGCUCGGGAACCCCAGCGAGGGAAGGGGAUCUCUCUUAACCACUGUAUCUCACAAACCAUUCAUCACAGCUACAAAACAAAACCACCAUUGGAAAGAGGAGGUCAAGAUCUAUACGAUUCGGUAUUGUAAGCUUCUCCUGCGAACAUACAGGCACGUUCAGGGGGUAUUCCCUGUGAAGAUGUACAUUUCUACGUGCGCGAUGGUCAGCCGUAAGGAAACUACUGUAGAUCUCUUGAUGAUGGGGUGCUGGCAAGGCGGCAUUGACGGCUGAAAAAUGUACAAGUAUUUGGUCAAAGAAUCCGUCAUGUGCUCGGUGAAGCUAUGGAAAAAUGUCGCGAUAUUGAGCAAGAACAUCUACCAGUUGCUUGUCCGUAGAUUUGCCAUGCUGGGUUGACGUGAUUUUCCACCAAGUUUAGUGAACACACUCAAUUGGCAAUCCUGCGUUGUGAGAAUUAGUGUUGGAACGCACUCACACGUGGGAGAUUUGAGUGCGGGUGGAGGUCACAGCGAGCGUUUAGCAGUGAAAGGGUUAAAGAGAUUAGUUCCUAUUUUCCAGCUCUCCCUUCCUAUAACACAAGCUCUCCCUUCCUAUAACACAAGCUCUCCCUUCCUAUAUCACAAGCUCUCCCUUCCUAUAACACAAGCUCUCCCUUCCUUGGCCAUUCCCUUGAGGUCAGUUCCAACACAAUCACAAGCUCUCCCUUCCUAUAUCACAAGCUCUCCCUUCCUAUAACACAAGCUCUCCCUUCCUCGGCCAUUCCCUUGAGGUCAGUUCCAACACAAUCACAAGCUCUCCCUUCCUAUAACACAAGCUCUCCCUUCCUCGGCCAUUCCCUUGAGGUCAGUUCCAACACAAUCACAAGCUCUCCCUUCCUAUAACACAAGCUCUCCCUUCCUAUAACACAAGCUCUCCCUUCCUAUAACACAAGCUCUCCCUUCCUUGGCCAUUCCCUUGAGGUCAGUUCCAACACCAUCACAAGCUCUCCCUUCCUAUAACACAAGCUCUCCCUUCCUUGGCCAUUCCCUUGAGGUCAGUUCCAACACUCACAAGCUCUCCCUUCCUAUAACACAAGCUCUCCCUUCCUAUAACACAAGCUCUCCCUUCCUUGGCCAUUCCCUUGAGGUCAGUUCCAACACUCACAAGCUCUCCCUUCCUCGGCCAUUCCCUUGAGGUCAGUUCCAACAGUCUACAUACAUACAUACAUACACACAUACAUACAUACACACAUACAUACAUACAUACAUACCUAGUGCUGUAUACAUUCCUGAGUUGUGAUGAGUGUACCAAGGUGUAUAAUUGUACCUGUUAAUUACACUAUAAAUGAUUA